UAGCAUGUUUAGAAAUGUCCUUUUCCCUGCCCACAGCUUACAAAGACACAAUUGCAUAGUGGGAGCCUUUGGGAAGUUUUAAAUAUCUUCUGUGAAGGAGGAGAAAUGUGGACAUGUUGGCCAAGCUGGUCAUUUUCAUGGCGGAUCUUACACUUGCUUUGGCCAUUUUUGGUAUCCUCUAUGCUCUUUCCCUAAUAGCAACCACAGGUAUAUUCAUCUCUGUCCUCUUCUAUAUUUUCAAAGGGAUGGAUAAAAACUGUGACUUCAGCAAGGGAAGAAUCCAGGUGCCAGAUUCCAGCAGUGCUCCUGGGAAGGCAUUUGCAGGCAACAUGGAGAGUCAGGUCUGGAAUGCUCCCCACCUAUUUUCUGGCUGCAAGAGAAGAGGCCCAAGGAGUGUGUUUUUGUCUGCUAGAGAGCGAGGAGCCCUCUAUGGUGGAGGAGGUGUGCAACCGGACCUACCAGAACACCGCACCCACCCAACUGAGAGUCUUCCUUUUCAUGAAGAAUGCUCAAGCUCCUAAGAAAGCCUGAGGUGCAUGAAGUAGAGGAGAUGAAUGCAAAAGGAUUUUAAUUCCCAGGAGUAACAUCUCACUGGCUACUGUGUUUCAAUUCUUCAAGCCUUCAUGCUCUUUGCCCUGCGACUUUACACCCACCAUCAGAAGGUGGCUAGGUCUGUUUUCCCACUUCUUGAAUAGGGGCUGGCCUUUGGACUUGGUUAGGCUAAUAGAAGGCGUCAGAAGUGAGAGGGAGCCAGUUCCUAGUCUGGUUGUCAAGGGACCUCCCACUCCACACUCUGUCGGGAGUACUGCCAGCACCUUGUGAAAAAGCCCCUGCCAGGCUGCCAGAGGAAGAGCCCAUCUGUCCUAGCUGAAGCCAUACUAGUCCAGCCUAUAGCCGGCACCCCCCAAACAUGUGAGAGAGCCGAUCUAUCUCAUCCACACAUGACCACAGAUGUGUAAAGGAGUCCGAUGAGACCAGAAGACCUGCCCCACUUGCUCCUAAACCUUUGAGCAGUAAAUAAUUACUAUUCUUUAGGAACUAGUUUUGGGCUGCUCUAACUCAUGUGGAGAAUGCAGUUUCUUAGAAGAUCUAAAUGUUUUAUGAUUUUGUUUUUAUUUUUGUUUAUUUUUGGUGGUGUUUUUUCCGCAGAAACUAUUUUCUUGCUAGAUUUGCUCAAAUGCACAUUGAUUUUGUAGUUUUGAAGAGAAUUCCUUGGUUUAAUCCUACUUUCACAGAAACUCCUGUGUGAUUCGUUUUGUCCUAUAACCGAGGCUACAAGAAACCUGAUGAUGCUACUGGGAAAGAAGUAGCUAAGUAAUUUCAAAAAGUGAAGAGUCUGGAUCCCCCCUCCAAAAAAAAGAAAGGAAAAGUUUAGUAAAAUGAAUAUCAGUUUGCAGAUUUAAAGGCUGGCUCAGUUGAUCUCAUAGUAAUGAAAGCAGAAAAGAUGUCAAGGAGACAGAAUUAAGUCUGAAUAUAACUUUUCUCUCAAAAUGUCAACAUAUACAUUAAAAUGAAUAAAAAAUUAUGACAGGUCAGGCAACAGAUACAUGUUGUACAAUAUGCAGAUAAUAGAAGGGAUGAACAAAUCCAGACCAACAAAACAUUAAAAAAAAAUUGAGGGUGUGAUAGUAAUAUUAAAGAAAUUCAAAUUUAAGGAAGAGAAGCUUGAAAGAGACAAAACACAGAUAUCUGAAUGAGAUCUGUUUAACAUAAUUGAUAGUUAAUAUGAUUUGAUUUGGUGCUCCUGUUUUGGGACACGCAUAUUAUACCAGUAGGAUAGUCUCUGAUGCAAAACCUCUUUGAUACCUCCAGGACAAUGAGAAAAUAGUAAGAGUAGGUUCCUCACUUAUAAAAAAAAAAGCAAGCAGUUGAAAUACAAUAUUUUGUUUCUUCCAUUUGGAAGUACAUUUUAAACAAGCGAAAUAGAUACCAUAUGGCCUGUCAGUCACUUGACACUGAAGAACAAUAUAGGAUUUGUAUCUUAGUUCCCAUUUCCCACAAUGAGUGUUAAUUCUUCCCUGCCUUUGCUCUUGCUAUUUUUCAUGAGCAGAACAUUUACUUGUUCAUUUCCUCUCUUCUUUAGUUGGUAAACUCCAAACCAGGUUCAAACUUAGAAAAAAAAAAGCUUUAAGUUUAAACUAAGAGACCGCCAUUAUUAGUGAAGGUUUUCCUAGUAACUCCAGGCAAAAUAAACCACCAUUGCCAAGAGUUCCUAUUAUUUCCUCACAUCUGUAAGCAUAGCACUAAUUUUAUAUUAUGACUAUUUGUAGUCCUGUCUCCUCCUAUUAAAUCACAAGCUCUUCAAAGGUCCAGGGCAGGAAUCUGCAGUCUCUGAAAUAUUAGAGACUUUUUUUUUAAUGUUAAGAUAAAUGCUUACAAAUUAAGUACUUAAAUAUUUUUAGAACAAACUGAAAUGUAUUCACACAUUAAAUUUUGAUCCACAUGCUCAAUUUUGCACUGCAGUAAUGGUAAUGGUACUUGGCUCUCCUAGGUCUACUCCAAAUUUUAGUCAAUUAAAAUAGUUUUAAUACAUCAAGGUGAUUAUCUUUCCAGAGGCAAUAAUUGUUCUCUAUUAUGAUUAUUAGUUAGAUUUUCCAAUUAGGUUUGAUUGAAGAGAGCCAUGGUUUUAAAUAUGCCAGUUCACUCCUUGUUUUAUCUAGCACAUGAAUACGUAUGACUAUAUUUGGAUUCCUAAUACGUAAUGAAAGAGCAGCUUUCGGUGUUUGAAAAGAAUGAAUCCUACUACCCCAAGGUGAUCUGUUUGUCUGCCAUGAUAACUAAUAAAGCUUUCCUUGAUACCCAAGAAGAAUAAGAAAUACCUUACAAGGGGCACCUGGGUGGCUCAAUUAGUUAAACGUCUGCCUUCGCUCAGGUCAUGAUCCCAGGAUCCUGAGAUGGAGCACCAUGUCAGGCUCCCAGCAGGGAGCUUGCUUCUCCCUCUCCUUCUGGCUGCUGCUUUCCCCUGCUUGUUCGCACUCUCUGUCUGUCAAAUAAAUAAAUCAGGAAGGAAGGAAGGAAGGAAGGAAGGAAGGAAGGAAGGAAGGAAGGAAGGAAGGAAGGAAGGAAGGAAGGAAGGAAGGAAGGAAGGAAGGAAGGAAGGAAGGAAGGAAGGAAGGAAGGAAGGAAGGAAGGGAGAGAAAGAAUGAUCAUAACCUCAACCGAAGGCAGGAGCUUAACCCACUGAAGCACCCAGGCACCCCUAUUAGAUGCUUUAAAGGGUAAAAAUGUCAUGAGGAUAAAAAUGCACAGGGAAUACAGUCAGUGGUGCUGUAAUAGGAUAAAGUAGCUACAGGGGGUAGCUACUUGUGGUGAACAUAAUAUAGAUUUGUUGAAUCACUAUGUUGUACACCUGAUACUAAUGUAACAUUGUGUGUCAACUACAAUGAAAAAAAAAGUUUUCAUCAAAAAGAAAAAAAAAAAGGUGAAACUGUCCUAGAAUUAUUUCAAUCUUAAGAGACUCUACUUUUCAAUAAAAAUUACUAGAAUCAUGAUACUGGCUCAGUGUUCUCAUUGCCUCUUUUCCCUUCUUAAAAUCAGAGCUCUUAGAAAAACAAGCCAAUACAUAGAACCCUCAAAAAAGCACCACAGAACACUUUAAGAUAGUAUUUUUUUUUUUUACUUAAAAUUUAUGCCCUUUGUGUCAUGGAAAACGCGCUAUCAUAUCCCUUCUUUCAAUGUUUUUUCCCUUCAAAAUACCAUUAGGAUGAAAUGAACUGAGAAUAUGGGAUAAAAUUCCCUGCACUUCUUUGUCCCCAGUUUGGAAGGCACCUUAUAUAAACACCCCCUUCCACUUCACCCCUUAGGUCUUUCCCAAGCCUCAUUAUAAGGAGAAAACUUUUUUGUGUUAUUCUUAAAUGGAGAUUGAAACUCUGGAAGAGUUAUAACUACAAAGAUGUAGACGAAGUAAAUCAAUUUCAUUAGUUCUCUUUACAUUUUUUUAAAUUUGAAAAUAUUUGUGGGAGCCUGAGUGGCUCAGUUGGUUAAGCAUCUGACUUCAGUAAGGUUAUGAUCUCAGGGUCCUGGGAUCCACCCCUGAGUCAGGAUCCCCACUCAGUGAGGACUCUAUUUGUCCCUCUGCCCUUCCCCCACUCACUCACACACACUUUCUCUCUCUCUUAAAUAAAUAAAAUAAAAUCUUUAAAAUUUGAAAAUAUUUGGGAGGAAAAAGGCCUACCAUAUUCUCACAUUAAAAACAAAGUUUUAUGAAAGGAAAAAGUCAAAAGGCUCUUCAAAUCAAAGGCUUCCCUUGAGAUAGCCAUUGUCAAGAGCUUAAUAUUUGCUCUUCCCAACUUUCUCUUAUGCUUAUUCUGAAAUACGUUAUGUACUUACAAAAUGGCAUUAGGCUACAUAUAUCAAAUUAAACUUGGUUGUUCUACUUAAAAAUGUGUUUCUUCCCAAGUCAUUAUGUGUAUACCUACUUAUGAUUGCUGAACAUUAGCAAUCUUUUUAAUAUUGGCAAAUGUUUUGCCAACUUGGUAAGUGGAGAAUGAUGUCAUUUUACUUCACAUUUUGAAAAGUCAACAUCACUCAUCAUCAGAGAGAUACAAAUCAAAACCACAGUGAGAUAUCUCCUCGCAUCUAUCUGAAUGGCUGAAAUUAACAACACAAGAAACAACAGGUGUUGGAGAGGAUGUGGAAAAAGGGGAACCCUCUUGCACUGUUGGUGGCAAUGCAAACUGGGGCAGCCACUCUGGAAAACAAUGUGGAGUUUCCUCAAAAAGCUAAAAAUAGAAUUACCCCACAACCCAGCAAUUGUACUACUACUACCCAAAGGAUUAGAAAAAAAUACAGAUUAGAAAGAAUACAUGCACCUCAAUGUUUAUAGCAGCAUUAUCAACAAUAGCCAAACUAUGGAAAGAGCCCAGAUGUCCAUGAAUGGUUAAGAAGAUGUGGUACAUAUACAUACAAUGGAAUAUUACUCAGCCAUCAAAAAGAAUGAAAUCUUGCUGUCUGCAACAACAUGGAUAGAGCUAGAGUGUAUUAUGCUAAGCAAAAUUAGUCAGUCAGAGAAAGACAAAUACCAUAUCAUUUUACUCAUAUUUGGAAAUUAAGAAACAAAACAGAUGAGCAUAGGGGAAGGGAAAUAAAAAUUAAAAAGAGAGAGAGAGAAAGAGAUAAGCCAUAAGAGACUCUUAAUUAUAGAGAACAAACUGAGGGUUGAUAGAGGGAGGUGGGAGGGGGAUGGGCUAGAUGGGUGAUGGCCAUUAAGGAAGGCACUUGUGAUGAGCGGUGGGUGUUGUAUGAAAGUGAUGAAACACUGAAUUCUACUCCUGAAACCAGUAUUGCACAGUAUUUUAACGAGAAUUUAAA
rnacentral:lncRNA from 1 species